UACGAAGGGGGCUAGCGUUGUUCGGAGUUACUGGGCGUAAAGGGCGCGUAGGCGGCUGGUCAAGUCGGGUGUGAAAGCCCGGGGCUCAACCCCGGAAAUGCACUCGAGACUGAUCGGCUUGAGGACGGGAGAGGAUAGUGGAAUUCCCAGUGUAGAGGUGAAAUUCGUAGAUAUUGGGAAGAACACCGGUGGCGAAGGCGGCCUGCUGGGGUCUUGGCUGACGCUGAAGCGCGACAGCGUGGGGAGCAAACAGG
rnacentral:rRNA from 1 species